rnacentral:rRNA from 1 species
GACGAACGCUAGCGGCGUGCUUAACACAUGCAAGUUGAACGGAAAGCCCCUUUCGGGGGGACUCGAGUGGCGAACGGGUGAGUAACACGUGGGUGAUCUGCCCUGCACUUUGGGAUAAGCCUGGGAAACUGGGUCUAAUACCGGAUAGGACUACGCACUGCAUGGUGUGUGGUGGAAAGCUUUUGCGGUGUGGGAUGGGCCCGCGGCCUAUCAGCUUGUUGGUGGGGUGAUGGCCGACCAAGGCGACGACGGGUAGCCGGCCUGGGAGGGUGUCCGGCCACACUGGGACUGAGAUACGGCCCAGACUCCUACGGGAGGCAGCAGUGGGGAAUAUUGCACAAUGGGCGCAAGCCUGAUGCAGCGACGCCGCGUGAGGGAUGACGGCCUUCGGGUUGUAAACCUCUUUCAGCAUCGACGAAGCGCAAGUGACGGUAGAUGCAGAAGAAGCACCGGCCAACUACGUGCCAGCAGCCGCCGUAAGAC